rnacentral:other from 22 species
GCAGCACCUCGUUAGGCGAGGCUCCUGCGCGAACACAGGCCACUGAUCUGACGACAUCGAGAGAUGCCCAAGAUCAGGACAGGCCGCCUCGGCUUAAGGGGCGGUCCCAAGUGGCUUCCGGUGCCAGUAAAUAUUGCCAGCCCAGAUACGUCGCGCAGCGCCGAAGCUCUACGUGGGGGUGACUC